UAAACGACUCUCGGCAACGGAUAUCUCGGCUCACGCAUCGAUGAAGAACGUAGCAAAAUGCGAUACUUGGUGUGAAUUGCAGAAUCCCGUGAACCAUCGAGUUUUUGAACGCAAGUUGCGCCCGAAGCCAUCUGGUUGAGGGCACGUCUGCUUGGGCGUCACGU
rnacentral:rRNA from 1 species